rnacentral:misc_RNA from 1 species
GAGAGAGAGAGAGAGAAGGGGAAGUAUGAAGCCUUAUUGUAAGCAUGGCCGAACAUCAGGAUAACAAGCACCAAUUAUCAUUCAAUAUGUAAGAUAACAUAGUUGUUUAUAAUUAUGAAGAACUCAUAUACACUAAAGUAACCAUCAAUAGAAUUAUUAAAUUGAUCAAGAUGUUAGGUAAGCAAACAGACAACUAUCUUCAUUGCCCUAUAAGUAUAAGCCUCACAGCCUCAUUUUGACAUCAACAAAUUCCCAUGCUGUUAGUAUUCCUCCACAUGCAUCUAACUCAUAUAAUUAAAAAUAUUCAAACAAAUAUAAAAAUAAUCCUAGUUGGACAAAAGAAACAAUUAGAUUACGAAUUAAACUUAACAACAUAUUUCACCAUCAUUAAAAUUUUAAAUUUGGAAUACAGAUAGCUAUUACAACGGACCCAACAUCAAUGUGAACAGCAUCAGAAAAGACCAUAAUUUCUUCAUUUGCACAUGCACAAAGGCAUAGAGGAAUCAAAAAGAUCAUUGUGGCAUGCAUGUGCACUGACCCGUACAAAAAGGGGAAUCAAGAACUUUCAUUAUCAAAUUCCUCCCAUUAAGAAUACAUGUUUACCUUCUCAGGGCACUCUUAAGAUAC